AUGGGGUGUUGCAUGCAAAUUCACACUGCAGGUUGCACUGGGGUUUGCACAUGGAUUUGCACAGGGGUCAUGCUGGGUUUGCACAAGGAUUUGCACAAGGGUUUGCACAAGGAUUUGCACAAGGGUUUGCACGGUGAUUGCAGGGUUUGCACAAGGAUUUGCACAAGGGUUUGCACAGUGAUCGCAGGGUUUGCACAAGGAUUUGCACAAGGGUUGCAUGGGGUGUUGCAUGCAAAUUCACACUGCAGGUUGCACUGGGGUUUGCACAUGGAUUUGCACAGGGGUCAUGCUGGGUUUGCACAAGGAUUUGCACAAGGACGACAUGGGGAUGUGCACAGAGAUUUGCACUGCAGCGUGCAAGGGGAUUUGCACAAGCAUUUGCACGGGGUUCUGGGGUUUACACGGGAGUUUUGCAUGAGGUUUUGCAUGGAUUGUGCUUGGUUUGCACUAGGACUUGCACAAUGGCUUGCACAAGAGUUUGCACAGUUCUGGCUUUUCACAAGGAUUUGCACAAGGGAGUGUAAGGAGAUUUGCAUGCAGUGCAUGGGAUCAAGCUGGGUUUGCACAAUGAUUUGCACAAGGAUUUGUACAAGGAUUUGUACCGGGAUUGCCCUGGGUUUGCACACACAUUUGCACAAGCAUUUGCACUGGGCUUGUGUUGGGUUUGCACACGGAUUUGCACAAGCAUUUGCACGAGGAUCAAGCUGGGUGUGCAUGAGGAUUUGCACAAGGAAUUGCACAAGUAUUUGCAGGGUUUGCACAAGCAUUUGCACAAGGAUCAAGCUGUGUUUGCACGAGGAUUUGCACAAUGGUUGCAUGGGGGUUGCAUGCAGAUUCACACCAGUUUGCACUAGGACUCACACGGGGCUCAUGCUGGAUUUGCACGAGGAUUUGCACAAGCAUUUACACAAUGGUGACGUAGGGAAGUGCAUGGAGAUUUGCACAGCGGUGUGCAAGGGGAUUUGCACAAGCAUUUGCACGAGGAUCAAGCUGGGUUUGCACGAAUUUGCACUAGGUUUGCACGUGGAUUUGCACAAGCAUUUGCACUGGGAUCAUGCUGGGUUUGCACGGGGACUUGCACAAGCAUUUGCACUGGGCUUGUGUUGGGUUUGCACGAGGAUUUGCACAAGCAUUUGCACAGGGGGUGCAAUGGGUUUCCAUGAGGAUUUGCACGAGGAUUUGACCCAUAAGUGCCCACACCUGUGCACCAUCAGCCCCAUAAGUGAAUCCUCAGCCCCAUAA
rnacentral:lncRNA from 1 species